rnacentral:rRNA from 1 species
GAAGCGGUAAUAGCUCAAAUUUGAAAGCUGCCAACAGGCCGCGUUGUAAUUUGUAGAAGAUGCUUUGGGUGUUGGCCUAUUCUAAGUUCCUUGGAACAGGACGUCAUAGAGGGUGAGAAUCCCGUAUGUGAUUAGUGCCAUCCCCCGUGUAAAGCUCUUUCGACGAGUCGAGUUGUUUGGGAAUGCAGCUCAAAAUGGGUGGUAAAUUUCAUCUAAAGCUAAAUAUUGGCCAGAGACCGAUAGCGCACAAGUAGAGUGAUCGAAAGAUGAAAAGCACUUUGGAAAGAGAGUUAAACAGUACGUGAAAUUGUUGAAAGGGAAGCGCUUGCAAUCAGACUUGCAGGCGGUUGAUCAUCCGAGGUUUUCCCCGGUGCACUCGAUCGUCUUCAGGCCAGCAUCGGUUUCAGUGGUAGGAUAAAGGCUGUGAGAAUGUGACUCUUUGGAGUGUUAUAGCUCACGGUGCAAUGCUGCCUACUGGGACCGAGGACCGCGCUUCGGCUAGGAUGCUGGCGUAAUGGUUGUAAGCGACCCGUCUUGAAACACGGACCAAGGAGUCUAACAUCUAUGCGAGUGUUUGGGUGUCAAACCCAUACGCGUAAUGAAAGUGAACGGAGGUGAGAACCCUUUAGGGCGCAUCAUCGACCGAUCCUGAUGUCUUCGGAUGGAUUUGAGUAAGAGCAUAGCUGUUGGGACCCGAAAGAUGGUGAACUAUGCGUGAAUAGGGUGAAGCCAGAGGAAACUCUGGUGGAGGCUCGCAGCGGUUCUGACGUGCAAAUCGAUCGUCAAAUUUGCGUAUAGGGGCGAAAGACUAAUCGAACCAUCUAGUAGCUGGUUCCUG